UUCGUCUAAUCGAUGCAGAGCAUUCCGUACUCAGAGGGCUCCUAAAUGCUGCUUGUAGUGAUCACUCAGCGCCAGCCCUCCGACACAGGACACAGAAAGCAAAGGCGGUGCUGCCACCAACAGGAGAAGGGAAGUCCCAGGAACUCCACUGAAACCCCAGUUCUCCAUGUUCUCGACUUAGAACUCUUGUUAAAUAAAUUAAGGCAAACAAACAAGCAAAGGUUUUUUUUAAAAAGUUCAGCCGAGAAAAUAUGGAACUUGCUUCCUUUCAAAAUACAGAAAAGUAAAAGCAGAGGAGAAAGAGCCAGCAGAAAAGAGAUUGACAGUAAAGAAGGGAAGAAAUAAUUGACCAAACAAGUUCCCUGAGGGUCUGGAAAAGAGAAUUGAAAACAAAGGUAGAACAGAAAUCGGAACACUUUCCUUCUGCUAAAUGGAGAGAAGAUGGGAAAGCAAGGAGCAAAGACAGCCAUAGGAGCACCAUCUGUGGACCCCAAGUCUCAAGACUUCACAAGAUUCCUCCAGGGCAGGGGAGGCCUGCUCCUUUUCUCGGCCCUACCUGCCACGUUGAGUUGAGCUCCUCUGACACUGACAGAUGGUGCUGGUGUCCUGGAGACUCCCUGAGAGGAAAGGAAAAGUCAGCCAGGAACCCCAAAAUGUGAAACCUGGACUCAAGGAGCAUCGCUGGUUGCAGCAGAGGCAGGAGCCGAGGGGAAGGCUCAGAGGCCUCCCUCGCCCCUUGGCUGAGGCCUCAAGGCAGAGCCGGCCGCCACCCCACCCCUCACCCCCGUUGGCUUCUGAGCACCUCUCCUGCCCUGGGGCUCUGAGAUACGCAGAACCUCGGCUGAUGCAAAAUAGUCAGCCCUUAACCCUCCCAGUCUUAUGCCACAUCAUUCCAGAGAAACAGAAAAGUACUCAUCG